rnacentral:rRNA from 1 species
GACGAACGCUGGCGGCGUGCCUAACACAUGCAAGUCGAACGGGGUAGUUCCUUCGGGGACUACUUCGUGGCGAACGGGUGAGUAACGCGUGAGGAACCUGCCUUUCAGUGGGGGACAACAGCUGGAAACGACUGCUAAUACCGCAUAAUAUGUACGGAUCGCAUGGUCUGUACAUCAAAGAUUUAUUGCUGAAAGAUGGCCUCGCGUCUGAUUAGCUAGUUGGUGGGGUAACGGCCCACCAAGGCGACGAUCAGUAGCCGGUCUGAGAGGAUGAACGGCCACAUUGGGACUGAGAUACGGCCCAGACUCCUACGGGAGGCAGCAGUGGGGAAUAUCGGGCAAUGGGGGAAACCCUGACCCAGCAACGCCGCGUGAAGGAAGAAGGCCUUCGGGUUGUAAACUUCUUUUACCAGGGACGAAGAACGUGACGGUACCUGGAGAAAAAGCAACGGCUAACUACGUGCCAGCAGCCGCCGCGGUAA